GUGAGCGUGGCCAAGUGGUUAAGGCGCCAGGUUGUGGCCCUGGAGAUCGUGGGUUCGACUCCCAUCGCUCACCCCA
rnacentral:tRNA from 1 species